CUGUUCCGGGGUGGAAGCUUUGUACUUUUGCUCUUUGCAGUAAGUCUUGCUACUGCUCACUCUUUUGGUCCACAAUGCCUUUAUGAGCUGUAACACUCACUGUGAAGGUCUGCAGCUUCACUCCUGAAACCAGCGAGACCACGAACUCACCAGAAGGAAGAAACUCUGAACACAUCCGAACAUCAGAAGGAACCAACUCCGGCCACGCCACCUUUAAGAAAGUUCUCUGCAUGAGGCCUGAUCGCAAGGAAUUAAGGACAAGCCAAUCAGCACUGAGUAGAACAACACUAAGGUUCCUUUAGUUUUUUUUUUUUUCCUUUGGAGAUGGAGUCUCACUGUCAUUAGGCUGGAGUCCAUGGCACAAUCUCGGCUCACUGCAACCUUCGCCUCCCU